GACGAACCGAGCGAACGUUAUUCGGAAUCACUGGGCUUAAAGGGCGCGUAGGCGGGCCCGAAAGUCAGGGGUGAAAGCCCCCAGCUCAACUGGGGAAGUGCCUCUGAUACUUCAGGCCUCGAGGGAGGUAGGGGCGUGCGGAACUUCCGGUGGAGCGGUGAAAUGCGUAGAUAUCGGAAGGAACACCGGUGGCGAAAGCGGCGCGCUGGACCUCUUCUGACGCUGAGGCGCGAAAGCCAGGGGAGCGAACGGG
rnacentral:rRNA from 1 species